UGGGGAAUAUUGGGCAAUGGGCGCAAGCCUGACCCAGCAACGCCGCGUGAAGGAAGAAGGCCCUCGGGUUGUAAACUUCUUUUAUCAAGGACGAAGCAAGUGACGGUACCUGACGAAUAAGCCACGGCUAACUACGUGCCAGCAGCCGCGGUAAUACGUAGGUGGCAAGCGUUAUCCGGAUUUACUGGGUGUAAAGGGCGUGUAGGCGGGAUUGCAAGUCAGAUGUGAAAACUGGGGGCUCAACCUCCAGCCUGCAUUUGAAACUGUAGUUCUUGAGUGCUGGAGAGGCAAUCGGAAUUCCGUGUGUAGCGGUGAAAUGCGUAGAUAUACGGAGGAACACCAGUGGCGAAGGCAGGGAGUUGCAUUGGAGCAGUAACUGACGCUGAGGCGCGAAAGCGUGGGGAGCAAACAGGAUUAGAUACC
rnacentral:rRNA from 1 species